UGGGGAAUUUUGGACAAUGGGCGAAAGCCUGAUCCAGCAAUGCCGCGUGUGUGAAGAAGGCCUUCGGGUUGUAAAGCACUUUUGUCCGGAAAGAAAUCCUUGGCUCUAAUACAGUCGGGGGAUGACGGUACCGGAAGAAUAAGCACCGGCUAACUACGUGCCAGCAGCCGCGGUAAUACGUAGGGUGCAAGCGUUAAUCGGAAUUACUGGGCGUAAAGCGUGCGCAGGCGGUUUGCUAAGACCGAUGUGAAAUCCCCGGGCUCAACCUGGGAACUGCAUUGGUGACUGGCAGGCUAGAGUAUGGCAGAGGGGGGUAGAAUUCCACGUGUAGCAGUGAAAUGCGUAGAGAUGUGGAGGAAUACCGAUGGCGAAGGCAGCCCCCUGGGCCAAUACUGACGCUCAUGCACGAAAAGCGUGGGGAGCAAAACAGGAUUAGAUACCCUGGUAGUCCACGCCCUAAAACGAUGUCAACUAGUUGUUGGGGAUUCAUUUCCUUAGUAACGUAGCUAACGCGUGAAGUUGACCGCCUGGGGAGUACGGUCGCAAGAUU
rnacentral:rRNA from 1 species